rnacentral:misc_RNA from 1 species
AGUCGUAACAAGGUUUCCGUAGGUGAACCUGCGGAAGGAUCAUUACAGAAUGAAAAGUGCUUAACUGCAUUUUUUCUUACACAUGUGUUUUUCUUUUUUUGAAAACUUUGCUUUGGUAGGCCUUCUAUAUGGGGCCUGCCAGAGAUUAAACUCAACCAAAUUUUAUUUAAUGUCAACCGAUUAUUUAAUAGUCAAAACUUUCAACAACGGAUCUCUUGGUUCUCGCAUCGAUGAAGAACGCAGCGAAAUGCGAUAAGUAAUAUGAAUUGCAGAUAUUCGUGAAUCAUCGAAUCUUUGAACGCACAUUGCGCCCUUUGGUAUUCCAAAGGGCAUGCCUGUUUGAGCGUCAUUUCUCCCUCAAACCCUCGGGUUUGGUGUUGAGCGAUACGCUGGGUUUGCUUGAAAGAAAGGCGGAGUAUAAACUAAUGGAUAGGUUUUUUCCACUCAUUGGUACAAACUCCAAAACUUCUUCCAAAUUCGACCUCAAAUCAGGUAGGACUACCCGCUGAACUUAAGCAUAUCA